rfam:Oryza sativa (indica cultivar-group) chromosome 10, whole genome shotgun sequence.
GGAUGGGAGGGGGAACCGGUCGGUAGUGGGAGCGGCGGGGAGGGGGCGUGGCUGGGAGUGUNNNNNNNNNNNNNNNNNNNNNNNNNNNNNNNNNNNNNNNNNNNNNNNNNNUUCGGGGAGUCGGCAAACAGACUUGAUCCGGAGAUGUCUGAAUGGGGGAACCCAGCCAUCAUAAGAUGGUUAUCACACACUGAAUACAUAGGUGUGUGAGGCGAACCCGGGGAACUGAAACAUCUAAGUACCCGGAGGAAAAGAAAUCAACCGAGAUUCCCUUAGUAGUGGCGAGCGAACGGGGACUAGCCCUUAAGUGGCUUUGAGAUUAGCGGAACGCUCUGGAAAGUGCGGCCAUAGUGGGUGAUAGCCCUGUACGCGAAAAUCUCUUAGUCAUGAAAUCGAGUAGGACGGAGCACGAGAAACUUUGUCUGAAUAUGGGGGGACCAUCCUCCAAGGCUAAAUACUACUGACUGACCGAUAGUGAACUAGUACCCGUGAGGGAAAGGCGAAAAGAACCCCGGAGAGGGGAGUGAAAUAGAUCCUGAAACCGUAUGCGUACAAGCAGUGGGAGCCUACUUUGUUGGGUGACUGCGUACCUUUUGUAUAAUGGGUCAGCGACUUAUAUUCAGUGGCGAGCUUAACCGAAUAGGGGAGGCGUAGCGAAAGCGAGUCUUAAUAGGGCGUCUAGUCGCUGGGAAUAGACCCGAAACCGGGCGAUCUAUCCAUGGGCAGGUUGAAGGUUAGGUAACACUGACUGGAGGACCGAACCGACUACCGUUGAAAAGUUAGCGGAUGACCUGUGGAUCGGAGUGAAAGGCUAAUCAAGCUCGGAGAUAGCUGGUUCUCCUCGAAAGCUAUUUAGGUAGCGCCUCAUGUAUCACUGUAGGGGGUAGAGCACUGUUUCGGCUAGGGGGUCAUCCCGACUUACCAAACCGAUGCAAACUCCGAAUACCUACAAGUGCCGAGCAUGGGAGACACACGGCGGGUGCUAACGUCCGUCGUGAAAAGGGAAACAACCCAGACCGUCAGCUAAGGUCCCAAAGUCAUGGUUAAGUGGGAAACGAUGUGGGAAGGCUUAGACAGCUAGGAGGUUGGCUUAGAAGCAGCCACCCUUUAAAGAAAGCGUAAUAGCUCACUAGUCGAGUCGGCCUGCGCGGAAGAUGUAACGGGGCUCAAACCAUGCACCGAAGCUACGGGUGUCAUCUUUGAUGACGCGGUAGAGGAGCGUUCUGUAAGCCUGUGAAGGUGAGUUGAGAAGCUUGCUGGAGGUAUCAGAAGUGCGAAUGCUGACAUGAGUAACGACAAUGCGAGUGAAAAACUCGCACGCCGAAAGACCAAGGUUUCCUGCGCAACGUUAAUCGACGCAGGGUUAGUCGGUCCCUAAGGCGAGGCUGAAAAGCGUAGUCGAUGGAAAACAGGUUAAUAUUCCUGUACUUCCAGUUAUUGCGAUGGAGGGACGGAGAAGGCUAGGCCAGCUUGGCGUUGGUUGUCCAAGUUUAAGGUGGUAGGCUGAGAUCUUAGGCAAAUCCGGGAUCUCAAGGCCGAGAGCUGAUGACGAGUGCUCUUUAGAGCGCGAAGUGGUUGAUCCCAUGCUUCCAAGAAAAGCUCCUAAGCUUCAGAUAACUGGGAACCGUACCCCAAACCGACACAGGUGGUUAGGUAGAGAAUACCAAGGCGCUUGAGAGAACUCGGGUGAAGGAACUAGGCAAAAUGGCACCGUAACUUCGGGAGAAGGUGCGCCGGUGAGGGUGAAGUAUUUACUACGUAAGCCCAUGCCGGUCGAAGAUACCAGGCCGCUGCGACUGUUUAUUAAAAACACAGCACUCUGCAAACACGAAAGUGGACGUAUAGGGUGUGACGCCUGCCCGGUGCCGGAAGGUUAAUUGAUGGGGUUAGCGCAAGCGAAGCUCUUGAUCGAAGCCCCGGUAAACGGCGGCCGUAACUAUAACGGUCCUAAGGUAGCGAAAUUCCUUGUCGGGUAAGUUCCGACCUGCACGAAUGGCAUAAUGAUGGCGGCGCUGUCUCCAGCAGAGGCUCAGUGAAAUCGAAAUCGCUGUGAAGAUGCAGUGUACCCGCGGCUAGACGGAAAGACCCCGUGAACCUUUACUGCAGCUUGACAUUGAACUUUGACCUUACUUGUGUAGGAUAGGUGGGAGGCUUUGAAGAUGGGACGCCAGUUCCAUUGGAGCCAUCCUUGAAAUACCACCCUGGUAAUGUUGAGGUUCUAACUCUGCCCCGUAAUCCGGGGCGAGGACCAUGUCUGGUGGGUAGUUUGACUGGGGCGGUCUCCUCCUAAAGAGUAACGGAGGAGUACGAAGGUGCGCUCAGCGUGGUCGGAAAUCACGCGUAGAGUAUAAAGGCAAAAGCGCGCUUAACUGCGAGACCCACAAGUCGAGCAGGUACGAAAGUAGGUCUUAGUGAUCCGGUGGUUCUGUAUGGAAGGGCCAUCGCUCAACGGAUAAAAGGUACUCUGGGGAUAACAGGCUGAUACCGCCCAAGAGUUCAUAUCGACGGCGGUGUAUGGCACCUCGAUGUCGGCUCAUCUCANNNNNNNNNNNNNNNNNNNNNNNNNNNNNNNNNNNNNNNNNNNNNNNNNNGCUUUGAAACCGAGACGCUAGUUUCGGUGGAGCCAAUCUUGAAAUACCACCCUGGUAAUAUUGAGGUUCUAACUCUGUCCCGUUAUCCGGGACGAGGACCAUGUCUGGUGGGUAGUUUGACUGGGGCGGUCUCCUCCUAAAGAGUAACGGAGGAGUACGAAGGUGCGCUCAGCGUGGUCGGAAAUCACGCGUAGAGUAUAAAGGCAAAAGCGCGCUUAACUGCGAGACCCACAAGUCGAGCAGGUACGAAAGUAGGUCUUAGUGAUCCGGUGGUUCUGUAUGGAAGGGCCAUCGCUCAACGGAUAAAAGGUACUCUGGGGAUAACAGGCUGAUACCGCCCAAGAGUUCAUAUCGACGGCGGUGUUUGGCACCUCGAUGUCGGCUCAUCUCAUCCUGGGGCUGAAGCAGGUCCCAAGGGUAUGGCUGUUCGCCAUUUAAAGAGGUACGUGAGCUGGGUUUAAAACGUCGUGAGACAGUUUGGUCCCUAUCUUCCGUGGGCGCUGCAGAUUUGAGGAAGCCUGCUCCUAGUACGAGAGGACCGGAGUGGACACACCUCUGGUGUAUCGGUUGUCACGCCAGUGGCAUUGCCGAGUAGCUAAGUGUGGAAGAGAUAACCGCUGAAAGCAUCUAAGCGGGAAACUCGUUUCAAGAUGAGAUCUGCCGGGGCCUUGAGCCCCCUGAAGAGUCGUUCAAGACCAGGACGUUGAUAGGCUGGGUGUGGAAGCGCAGUAAUGCGUUAAGCUAACCAGUACUAAUUGCUCGUGAGGCUUGACCCU